AUUGAAUGCUGGCGGCAUGCUUUACACAUGCAAGUCGAACGGCAGCGCGGGCUUCGGCCUGGCGGCGAGUGGCGAACGGGUGAGUAAUACAUCGGAACGUGCCCAGUAGUGGGGGAUAGCUCGGCGAAAGCCGGAUUAAUACCGCAUACGACCUGAGGGUGAAAGCGGGGGAUCUUCGGACCUCGCGCUAUUGGAGCGGCCGAUGGCCGAUUAGCUAGUUGGUGGGGUAAAGGCCUACCAAGGCGACGAUCUGUAGCUGGUCUGAGAGGACGACCAGCCACACUGGGACUGAGACACGGCCCAGACUCCUACGGGAGGCAGCAGUGGGGAAUUUUGGACAAUGGGCGAAAGCCUGAUCCAGCAAUGCCGCGUGUGUGAUGAAGGCCUUCGGGUUGUAAAGCACUUUUGGCGGGAACGAAAAGGACUGUGCCAAUACCACGGUUCGAUGACGGUACCCGCAGAAUAAGCACCGGCUAACUACGUG
rnacentral:rRNA from 1 species